GCCCGGCGUGCUAACGCUUCUGCCAGCACACCUCCUUAAUUUAUUAAGUAUAUUAACAUCAAUUAUUGAGUAAAGACUUCAAGAUCAAGAUUUAUAAAUAUUAUUAAGAACUUCAAUGAAAUUUAAAGUCGAAGUUGGUGUUUUUAAAUCAGUUGAAGCAUUAGAGAUUCUAUACGCAUUAAUCUGUGCUUAUCUCCGUGCUUUACUGAUUUAGAUGCAGGACACAUGCUGAAAGUUGGGGAGAAAACCCAAGAAAACGACAUCGGUGUGGGAGAUUGAGUCUGCAGUAAUUCUGAAGUUGAUGGUGGUGACGAUGACAACGACGACGACGAUAACAUUGACAAUGUUGAUGGCUGCCGAGAAGAGGAGAUUCUGAUCGUUAGAUUUACUUGAAAUGAUGUCGAUUGAGACUUGCAUUUCUAACAGAGAAAGAGAAAGAGGAGAAGAAGAUAAAAACCAUUUUAUAACAUUCCACCUAAAAUAAAGAAAAUACUGUA
rnacentral:lncRNA from 1 species